CAGCAGCCGCGGUAAUACGUAGGGAGCGAGCGUUGUCCGGAAUUAUUGGGCGUAAAGGGCUUGUAGGUGGCUUGUCGCGUCUGCCGUGAAAGGCUUCAGCUUAACUGGAGUAGUGCGGUGGGUACGGGCUGGCUUGAGUGUGGUAGGGGAGACUGGAAUUCCUGGUGUAGCGGUGGAAUGCGCAGAUAUCAGGAGGAACACCGGUGGCGAAGGCGGGUCUCUGGGCCAUUACUGACACUGAGGAGCGAAAGCGUGGGGAGCGAACAGGAUUAGAUACCCUGGUAGUCCACGCUGUAAACGUUGGGCACUAGGUGUGGGGGCUGUCAUGGUUUCUGCGCCGUAGCUAACGCUUUAAGUGCCCCGCCUGGGGAGUACGGUCGCAAGGCUAAAACUCAAAGGAAUUGACGGGGGCCCGCACAAGCGGCGGAGCAUGCGGAUUAAUUCGAGGCAACGCGAAGAACCUUACCAAGGCUUGACAUACACCGGAACGCUCUAGAGAUAGAGAACUCUUUGAUACUGGUGUACAGGUGGUGCAUGGUUGUCGUCAGCUCGUGUCGUGAGAUGUUGGGUUAAGUCCCGCAACGAGCGCAACCCUUGUCCCAUGUUGCCAGCACGUUGUGGUGGGGACUCAUGGGAGACUGCCGGGGUUAACUCGGAGGAAGGUGGGGAUGACGUCAAAUCAUCAUGCCCCUUAUGUCUUGGGCUUCACGCAUGCUACAAUGGCUGGUACAGAGGGUUGCGAUACCGUGAGGUGGAGCGAAUCCCUUAAAGCUGGUCUCAGUUCGGAUCGAAGUCUGCAACUCGACUUCGUGAAGGUGGAGUCGCUAGUAAUCGCAGAUCAGCAACGCUGCGGUGAAUACGUUCUCGGACCUUGUACACACCGCCCGUCACGUCAUGAAAGUUGGUAACACCCGAAGCCGGUGGCCUAACCACGUUUGUGGGGGGAGCCGUCGAAGGUGGGAUUGGCGAUUGGGACGAAGUCGUAACAAGGUAGCCGU
rnacentral:rRNA from 1 species